GAUGAACGCUGGCGGCGUGCCUAAUACAUGCAAGUCGAGCGAACAGACGAGGAGCUUGCUCCUCUGACGUUAGCGGCGGGCGGGUGAGUAACACGUGUAUAACCUACCUAUAAGACUGGGAUAACUUCGGGAAACCGGAGCUAAUACCGGAUAAGAUGUUGAACCGCAGGGGUCAACAGUGAAAGACGGUCUUGCUGUCUCUUAUAGAUGGUUCCGCGCCGCAUUAGGGAGUUGGUACGGUAACGGCUUUACAAGGCAACGAUGCGUAGCCGACCUGAGAGGGUGAGCGGCCACACUGGAGCGGACACGCGGUCUAGACUUCUGCGGGAGGCAACAGUAGUAAAUCUGCCAGCAGGGGCGAAAGUCUGACGGAGCGCCGACGCGUGAGGCAAGAAGGUCGUGGGCGCGAAAAACUCUGUUAUGAGGGAAAAAGAAAUGUGUAAGUAACUAGCCACGUCGAGACGGAACCUAAAAAGAGCGCCGCGUAAAACCAUG
rnacentral:rRNA from 1 species